GGUCCUGUGAGGCUCUGUUGGUAGAGCAUGGUGUUCGCAACGCCAGGGUUGUGGGUUCGAUUCCCACGGGGGACCA
rnacentral:tRNA from 1 species